rnacentral:tRNA from 1 species
GCCGACGUAGCUCAGUCGGUAGAGCAAUCGCCUUGUAAGCGAUAGGUCAUGGGUUCGAAUCCCAUCGUCGGCU